GACGAACGCUGGCGGCGUGCUUAACACAUGCAAGUCGAACGGAAAGGCCCUGCUUUUGUGGGGUGCUCGAGUGGCGAACGGGUGAGUAACACGUGAGUAACCUGCCCUUGACUUUGGGAUAACUUCAGGAAACUGGGGCUAAUACCGGAUAGGAGCUCCUGCUGCAUGGUGGGGGUUGGAAAGUUUCGGCGGUUGGGGAUGGACUCGCGGCGUAUCAGCUUGUUGGUGGGGUAGUGGCUUACCAAGGCUUUGACGGGUAGCCGGCCUGAGAGGGUGACCGGCCACAUUAGGACUGAGAUACGGCCCAGCCUCCUACGGGAGGCAGCAGUGGGGAAUAUAGCACAAUGGGCGGAAGCCUGAUGCGACAACGCCGCGUGCGGGAUGACGGCCUUCGGGUUGUAAACCGCUUUCGCCUGUGACGAAGCGUGAGUGACGGUAAUGGGUAAAGAAGCACCGGCUAACUACGUG
rnacentral:rRNA from 1 species